GAGUUUGAUCCUGGCUCAGGAUGAACGCUAGCGGCAGGCCUAACACAUGCAAGUCGAGGGGUAACAGAGGUAGCUUGCUACUUGCUGACGACCGGCGCACGGGUGCGUAACGCGUAUACAAUCUACCUUUUGCUAAGGGAUAGCCCAGAGAAAUUUGGAUUAAUACCUUAUAGUAUGCAGAGUUCUCAUGAACCUUGUAUUAAAGAUUACGGCAAAAGAUGAGUAUGCGUCCUAUUAGUUUGUUGGUGUGGUAACGGCACACCAAGACUACGAUAGGUAGGGGCCCUGAGAGGGGGAUCCCCCACACUGGUACUGAGACACGGACCAGACUCCUACGGGAGGCAGCAGUGAGGAAUAUUGGACAAUGGAGGCAACUCUGAUCCAGCCAUGCCGCGUGCAGGAAGACUGCCCUAUGGGUUGUAAACUGCUUUUAUACAGGAAGAAACACUCCCUCGUGAGGGAGCUUGACGGUACUGUAAGAAUAAGGAUCGGCUAACUCCGUGCCAGCAGCCGCGGUAAUACGGAGGAUCCAAGCGUUAUCCGGAAUCAUUGGGUUUAAAGGGUCCGUAGGUGGAUAAUUAAGUCAGAGGUGAAAGUUUGCAGCUCCACUGUAAAAUUGCCUUUGAUACUGGUUAUCUUGAGUUAUUGUGAAGUAGUUAGAAUAUGUAGUGUAGCGGUGAAAUGCAUAGAUAUUACAUAGAAUA
rnacentral:rRNA from 1 species